CAGUCGCCGCGGUAAUACGGAGGGUGCAAGCGUUAUCCGGAUUCACUGGGUUUAAAGGGUGCGUAGGUGGGCAGGUAAGCCAGUGGUGAAAUCUCCGGGCUUAACCCGGAAACUGCCGUUGAUACUAUCUGUCUUGAAUAUAGUGGGGGUGAGCGGAAUAUGUCAUGUAGCGGUGAAAUGCUUAGAUAUGACAUAGAACACCCAUUGCGAAGGCAGCUCGCUACACUAUCAUUGACACUGAGGCACGAAAGCGUGGGGAUCAAACAGGAUUAGAUACCCCGGUAGUCCCUGUCUCUUAUAC
rnacentral:rRNA from 1 species